ACAGAGACUGUGAAAUGCCUUCCUUGGGACCCACCCUAGCUUCUACUUCCUACCGAGGUUCCCUCUUUCUGGUGGUUCUGCCCAAUCUUCCUGCUCUUCCUUCUGCCUCUUAGGAGGCACUGAGCUAAGGGGCCUUCCCAGAUCUCUGACUUCAGGUGGAAUCAAAGCAUAUAUACUCCUUUCAAGCACUAUGCUCUUCUGAUUUUCUUCCCAAAGAGUCAGACUUUAACAGAGUGCUUUUCUCCUACAGUCACUUUAUCCUCCAAGCCACAAGCACUGGCCACACCAAACAAGGAGGAGCACGGGAAAAGAAAGAAGAAAGGCAAGGGGCUAGGGAAGAAGAGGGACCCAUGUCUUCGGAAAUACAAGGACUUCUGCAUCCAUGGAGAAUGCAAAUAUGUGAAGGAGCUCCGGGCUCCCUCCUGCAUCUGCCACCCGGGUUACCAUGGAGAGAGGUGUCAUGGGCUGAGCCUCCCAGUGGAAAAUCGCUUAUAUACCUAUGACCACACAACCAUCCUGGCCGUGGUGGCUGUGGUGCUGUCAUCUGUCUGUCUGCUGGUCAUCG
rnacentral:lncRNA from 1 species